rnacentral:rRNA from 1 species
AGCCAGUAGAAUAUAUUUCUGGUUUUACCUGCUCGAUGACUAAGUUAAAUGGCCGCAGUACUCUGACUGUGCUAAGGUAGCGUAAUCAGUUGGCUUUUAAAUGGAGUCGGGUAUGAAUGGAAUAACCGGGCUUAGCUGUCUCUUGAGUAUUUACUUUAAUUUGCUUUUUAAGUGAAAAAGCUUAAAAAAACAAAAAAGACGAGAAGACCCUUAGAAUUUUAAUUACAAUCAACAUCGUUUUUAUUGGGGCAAUAAAGAAACACUAAGAAACUUUCUUAAUUUACAAAUCGAAUAAUUUUAAGUGAGAAUAAAUUACCUGAGGGAUAACAGCAUUAUUUUAAAAUUAAGUUUGUGACCUCGAUGUUGGACUAGGAAACUGGCAGGCUAGCCGUUUGUCAUGUUGGUUCUGUUCGAACUUCUG